rnacentral:tRNA from 1 species
AACCGUAUAGCUCAGUGGUAGAGUUCUGCUUUGCAGUGGUCGGCGGUUCGAGUCCGCCUGCGGUUA